rnacentral:sRNA from 12 species
ACUGUGAAGUGUUAUAUCAAAUGAGAGUAGCAAGUUGCAAAAUCAGACACGUUGAAGCAGUAA